UACGAAGGGGGCUAGCGUUGUUCGGAAUCACUGGGCGUAAAGCGCACGUAGGCGGAUCUUUAAGUCAGGGGGUGAAAUCCCGAGGCUCAACCUCGGAACUGCCUUUGAUACUGGGGAUCUCGAGUCCGGGAGAGGUGAGUGGAACUGCGAGUGUAGAGGUGAAAUUCGUAGAUAUUCGGAAGAACACCAGUGGCGAAGGCGGCUCACUGGUCCGGUACUGACGCUGAUGUGCGAAAGCGUGGGGAGCAAACAGG
rnacentral:rRNA from 1 species